rnacentral:rRNA from 1 species
GAUGAACGCUGGCGGCGUGCCUAAUACAUGCGAGUCGAGCGAACAGACGAGGAGCUUGCUCCUCUGACGUUAGCGGCGGACGGGUGAGUAACACGUGGAUAACCUACCUAUAAGACUGGGAUAACUUCGGGAAACCGGAGCUAAUACCGGAUAAUAUAUUGAACCGCAUGGUUCAAUAGUGAAAGACGGUUUUGCUGUCACUUAUAGAUGGAUCCGCGCCGCAUUAGCUGGUUGGUAAGGUAACGGCUUACCAAGGCGACGAUGCGUAGCCGACCUGAGAGGGUGAUCGGCCACACUGGAACUGAGACACGGUCCAGACUCCUACGGGAGGCAGCAGUAGGGAAUCUUCCGCAAUGGGCGAAAGCCUGACGGAGCAACGCCGCGUGAGUGAUGAAGGUCUUCGGAUCGUAAAACUCUGUUAUUAGGGAAGAACAAAUGUGUAAGUAACUAUGCACGUCUUGACGGUACCUAAUCAGAAAGCCACGGCUAACUACGUG